AGUGAACGCUGGCGGUAGGCCUAACACAUGCAAGUCGAACGGCAGCACAGUAAGAGCGUGCUGUUAUGGGUGGCCAGUGGCGGACGGGUGAGGAAUACAUCGGGACCUACUUUUUCGUGGGGGAUAACGUAGGGAAACUUACGCUAAUACCGCAUACGACCUACCGGUGAAAGCAGGGGAUCUUCGGACCUUGCGCGAUUGAAUGAGCCGAUGUCGGAUUAGCUAGUUGGCGGGGUAAAGGCCCACCAAGGCGACGAUCCGUAGCUGGUCUGAGAGGAUGAUCGGCCACACUGGAACUGAGACACGGUCCAGACUCCUACGGGAGGCAGCAGUGGGGAAUAUUGGACAAUGGGCGCAAGCCUGAUCCAGCCAUACCGCGUGGGUGAAGAAGGCCUUCGGGUUGUAAAGACCUUUUGUUGGGAAAGAAAAGCAGCAGGUUAAUACCCCGCUGUUCUGACGGUACCCAAAGAAUAAGCACCGGCUAACUUCGUG
rnacentral:rRNA from 1 species